rnacentral:misc_RNA from 1 species
GAUGAAGAACGUAGCGAAAUGCGAUAAGUAAUGUGAAUUGCAGAAUUCAGUGAAUCAUCGAAUCUUUGAACGCAUAUUGCGCCCGCCAGUAUUCUGGCGGGCAUGCCUGUUCGAGCGUCAUUACAACCCUCAGGCCCCCGGGCCUGGCGUUGGGGAUCGGCGGAAGCCCCCUGCGGGCACAACGCCGUCCCCCAAAUACAGUGGCGGUCCCGCCGCAGCUUCCAUUGCGUAGUAGCUAACACCUCGCAACUGGAGAGCUGCGCGGCCACGCCGUAAAACACCCAACUUCUGAAUGUUGACCUCGAAUCAGGUAGGAAUACCCGCUGAACUUAAGCAUAUCAAUAAGCGGAGGA